rnacentral:rRNA from 1 species
CUUGCUUCUCUGAUGUUAGCGGCGGACGGGUGAGUAACACGUGGAUAACCUACCUAUAAGACUGGGAUAACUUCGGGAAACCGGAGCUAAUACCGGAUAAUAUUUUGAACCGCAUGGUUCAAAAGUGAAAGACGGUCUUGCUGUCACUUAUAGAUGGAUCCGCGCUGCAUUAGCUAGUUGGUAAGGUAACGGCUUACCAAGGCAACGAUGCAUAGCCGACCUGAGAGGGUGAUCGGCCACACUGGAACUGAGACACGGUCCAGACUCCUACGGGAGGCAGCAGUAGGGAAUCUUCCGCAAUGGGCGAAAGCCUGACGGAGCAACGCCGCGUGAGUGAUGAAGGUCUUCGGAUCGUAAAACUCUGUUAUUAGGGAAGAACAUAUGUGUAAGUAACUGUGCACAUCUUGACGGUACCUAAUCAGAAAGCCACGGCUAACUACGUGCCAGCAGCCGCGGUAAUACGUAGGUGGCAAGCGUUAUCCGGAAUUAUUGGGCGUAAAGCGCGCGUAGGCGGUUUUUUAAGUCUGAUGUGAAAGCCCACGGCUCAACCGUGGAGGGUCAUUGGAAACUGGAAAACUUGAGUGCAGAAGAGGAAAGUGGAAUUCCAUGUGUAGCGGUGAAAUGCGCAGAGAUAUGGAGG